rnacentral:rRNA from 1 species
GUGGGGAAUUUUGGACAAUGGGCGCAAGCCUGAUCCAGCAAUGCCGCGUGCAGGAAGAAGGCCUUCGGGUUGUAAACUGCUUUUGUACGGAACGAAACGGUCCGGGUUAAUACCCUGGGCUAAUGAUGGUACCGUAAGAAUAAGCACCGGCUAACUACGUGCCAGCAGCCGCGGUAAUACGUAGGGUGCAAGCGUUAAUCGGAAUUACUGGGCGUAAAGCGUGCGCAGGCGGUUUUGUAAGACAGGCGUGAAAUCCCCGGGCUCAACCUGGGAAUUGCGCUUGUGACUGCAAGGCUGGAGUGCGGCAGAGGGGGAUGGAAUUCCGCGUGUAGCAGUGAAAUGCGUAGAUAUGCGGAGGAACACCGAUGGCGAAGGCAAUCCCCUGGGCCUGCACUGACGCUCAUGCACGAAAGCGUGGGGAGCAAACAGGAUUAGAUACCCUAGUAGUCC